rnacentral:misc_RNA from 1 species
GUGAAUCAUCGAAUCUUUGAACGCACAUUGCGCCCGCCAGUAUUCUGGCGGGCAUGCCUGUUCGAGCGUCAUUUCAACCCUCAAGCUCCGGCUUGGUGUUGGGGAUCGGCAGCCCGGCUUCGCGCCGACGCCGUCCCCCAAAUGCAGUGGCGGUCACGCUGUAGCUUCCUAUGCGUAGUAGCACACCUCGCACUGGAAAGCAGCGCGGCCACGCCGUAAAACCCCCAACUUUUUGUGGUUGACCUCGAAUCAGGUAGGACUACCCGCUGAACUUAAGCAUAUCAAUAAGCGGAGGA